rnacentral:lncRNA from 1 species
GAGCACCAGCAUCCACAGCUGCUUGAGGAGGAAACAUCAACAGAAAGCAAAACAAUUAAUCAUCCACUGAUGGAGGAGGAGGAUGAUGAAGAUGGAGGACAGGAGCACCAGUAUCCACAGCAUCCUGAGGAAACAUCAACAGGGGACAGAAAGACUUCUAUUCACCAAAACAAUACAGGAGUGCCAGCAUCCACUGAUGGAGGAGGAGGAUGAAGAAGAUGGAGGACAUUAGCACCAGCAUCCACAGCAUCUUGAGGAGUAAACAUCAACAGAAAGCAAAACAAUCAAAACAAUUAAUGUAAGUAAAGCCUCUCAUUGGCACAGAAAGACACUGAACUAAUGUUUAAUGUAAAAAUAGAGGUGACUUUAUACUAAUGCCUGUAAAAUGUUGGACUGGAACAACGGCAUCUACUGAUGGAGGAGGAGGAUGAUGAUGGAGGACAGGAGCACCAGUAUCCACAGCAUCCUGAGGAGGAAACAUCAACAGAGGACAGAGACUUCUAUUCACCAAAACAAUACAGGAGCACCAGCAUCCACAGCAUCCUGAGGAGGAAACAUUACCAGAGGACAGAAAGACUUCUAUUCACCAAAACAAUCAAUAGUUUUGCUUCAGAGGAGAAUCCGACAGUUCCAGAUGUUCGUCACCAGCACUGCAGUGUUUACACAGACUGCUUUGGUUUCAACUUUCUACAAAAAACUGUUGAAUUUUCAACUCACUUUCCAUCUGAAUCCAAGCUCAUCUUCAUCACUGGGAUGUUUCUUCAUCAGUUCUUCGUACAGACUGACACAGCUCACACAUGGAGAAGAUGAUUUAUGGAAUAUGACAUUUAGAUUUUUCCUUUUCUCAACAGUAUGAUGCAUACAUCCCAACCCAAAUUUCAUGCAUUUUUUUGGCUUAACUUGAGCCAAUUUCCAUCAAUAAAUUGCUAAUGUAUUAUUAUUGACUAUUACUA